CAGUAGCCGCGGGAAUACGUAGGGUCCGAGCGUUGUCCGGAAUUACUGGGCGUAAAGAGCUCGUAGGCGGUUUGUCGCGUCUGCCGUGAAAGUCCGGGGCUCAACCCCGGAUCUGCGGUGGGUACGGGCAGACUAGAGUGAUGUAGGGGAGACUGGAAUUCCUGGUGUAGCGGUGAAAUGCGCAGAUAUCAGGAGGAACACCGAUGGCGAAGGCAGGUCUCUGGGCAUUAACUGACGCUGAGGAGCGAAAGCAUGUGGAGCGAACAGGAUUAGAUACCCCAGUAGUCCCUGUCUCUUAUAC
rnacentral:rRNA from 1 species